GCUGGGCACAGUGGUGUAUGCCUGUAAUCCCAGCAACCCAGGAAGCUGAGGCAGGAGGAUCACAAGUUGGAGGCCAGCUUGGGAAACUUAGUGAGAUCCUGUCUCAA
rnacentral:sRNA from 1 species